rnacentral:lncRNA from 1 species
UACUGACCUUGACAGCAGCACAGUCUCUGAUGUCAUAAUCCUGCUGAAACUCAAACUUACCCUCAUUAUGGAGUUUUGUGACAACCACCUCCACAUCUGCUAGAGAAUGAAUGCUGAUUAGGUCACUACUGAAGGCUUUGCAUUUCGCAUGUGCCUUAUCCCAGGAAUUACUUUCAUUUACCAGCAGAUAGCAAAAUCCAUUAUUUGGCAGCCAGCCU